rnacentral:rRNA from 1 species
UACGAGGGGUGCAAACGUUAUUCGGAAUUACUGGGCGUAAAGGGCAUGUAGACGGCAUUUUAAGUCAAUUGUUAAAUUCCCCGGCUUAACUGGGGGUAGGCGAUUGAAACUAAAAAGCUAGAGGAUGGAAGAGAGAAGUGGAAUUCUCGGAGUAGCGGUAAAAUGCGUAGAUCUCGAGAGGAACACCGAUGGCGAAGGCAGCUUCUUGGUCCAUAUCUGACGUUGAGAUACGAAAGCGUGGGGAGCAAACCGG